AUCUUAGGAUCUUUCUUUAGUGUGGUGAUGGGCAUUCAUGUCCCUGCAUGAAAUAUGUCCCCCCCGCAACACAUCAUUAUCACAUUGGCACAGGAGCCUUCUGAUA